rnacentral:rRNA from 1 species
UGAACCUGCGGAAGGAUCAUUAUAGAAUCACGAAGCGAGGGUUGUCGCUGGUCCCCUCGGGGGCAUGUGCACGCCCGAGCUCUCAAUUCCAAAACACACCUGUGAACCCACCGUGGGCCCUGCAAAGGGCUCGCCUCUAUAUACUCUGCAUGUCUCAUAGAAUGUCGAAUUGUUUGCCUUGAAAACGCAAUCAAAUACAACUUUCAACAACGGAUCUCUUGGCUCUCGCAUCGAUGAAGGACGCAGCGAAAUGCGAUAAGUAAUGUGAAUUGCAGAUUUUCAGUGAAUCAUCGAAUCUUUGAACGCACCUUGCGCCCCUUGGUAUUCCGAGGGGCAUGCCUGUUUGAGUGUCAUUCAAACCAUCAACCCCGUCGAUCUUUGAUCGGUCGGAGGCUUGGACUUUGGAGCGUGCUGGCCCAAUUGAGGUCGGCUCCUCUUUAAAUGCAUCAGCGGAAAGCCCAUUGACGUUUCCCGUCGGCGUGAUAAUCCUGUUGCGUCGUCAGGGUCUGGUUGGGGCUCGCUUAUAAUCGUCUUCGGACUACAUCUCGUUUUGACCUCAAAUCAGGUAGGACUACCCGCUGAACUUAAGCAUAUCAAUAAGCGGAGGAAAAC